AGAUUAGAGUUUGAUCCUGGCUCAGAACGAACGCUGGCGGCGUGGAUAAGACAUGCAAGUCGAGCGCUAAUUACAGGGUAGCAAUAUUCUGUAGUUGGAGCGGCGCAAGGGUGCGUAACACGUGGGUAAUCUGCCAUGAAGUUUGGGAUAACUCGCUGAAAGGCGAGCUAAUACCGGAUGUGAAGAUUGGAAGGCAUCUUUUGAUCUUCAAAGUUGGGGACCGUAAGGCCUGACGCUUCAUGAUGAGCCCGCGGCCUAUCAGCUAGUUGGUGAGGUAACGGCUCACCAAGGCUAAGACGGGUAGCUGGUCUGAGAGGACGACCAGCCACACUGGAACUGAGACACGGUCCAGACACCUACGGGUGGCAGCAGUCGAGAAUUUUUCACAAUGGGGGAAACCCUGAUGGAGCGACGCCGCGUGGGGGAUGAAUGGCUUCGGCCCGUAAACCCCUGUCAUUCGCGAACAAUGCCUGCGGUUUAAUACAUCGCAGGUUGAUAGUAGCGGAAGAGGAAGGGACGGCUAACUCUGUGCCAGCAGCCGCGGUAAUACAGAGGUCCCGAGCGUUGUUCGGAUUCACUGGGCGUAAAGGGUGCGUAGGCGGUCGGGUAAGUUUGAUGUGAAAUCUCCGGGCUUAACCCGGAAACUGCAUUGAAUACUAUUCGGCUUGAGGUCUGGAGGGGGGACUGGAAUUCUCGGUGUAGCAGUGAAAUG
rnacentral:rRNA from 1 species